ensembl:lncRNA
GGUUCCCCUUUGGGCCCUGGACCAAUGACUUGACAAUUUCUUCUCUGGAGACACCUGGCUUUGAGCGGCGAGGGGAUGAGAGGUUUAGAGUAGCGGCUCGCAUAGGGUGGUCUGGGGGGCCCUGUGGGUUCCAAGAUCAUUUCAGAACUAGCUAGCUUCAUAGUAAUAAUAGGGUUUCAUUUGCCUUUCUUAGUUUCGCUGGAAUUUUCCAGAGAACUGAUGUAUGAUGACGCCAUUGCUCUCAUGACUAAAGGAAUGUGUGCUUGCAUGUUCUUGUGUUUUCUAGAAUUUCCCAAGUUUUCUGGCAUCAGAAGUGGGAUCCAAAUAAGACCUUCAACAACUCUGAAGCCAGCGAGCAACUGCGUGCUGGUAACCACAGGACCCGAGGAGCUCAGUGCUUUCUCACCGACCUUGCAGUCAGCCUGAGUGCUGCUCUCUUUGCGUGUUGCAGUCUCCAACUUUAUCAUGCAUACCUGUAUUCUGUUUGUUCUAGCUUCUUGCUACCAGCAACCCCACUUCCAAGGAGUGGCGGCUGCACAGGCACAGGAGGGCCAAGAGGAGCUACUCCACGUUCAAGGACAGGAGAUGCAACCUCGUCCAAGGUCAGGAGCAGUGGCUGCGCUUUGCUGGUGUAGUGUGAAGAGAUACCCCAAGUCCAAGGUAAGAGAAACCCAAGUAAGAUGGUAGGUGUUGUGAGAGGCAUCAGAGGGCAGACACACAAACAAUAAUCACAGAAAACUAGCCAAUCUGAUUACACGGAUCACAGCCUUGUCUAACUCAAUGAAACUAAGCCAUGCAUGUGGGGCCACCCAAGACAGACGGGUUGUGGUGAUAGAGGUCUGAUGGAAUGUGGUCCACUGGAGAAGGAAAUGGCAAACCACUUCAGUAUUCUUGCUUUGAGAACCCCAUGAACAGUAUGAACAGGCAAAAUGAUAGGAUACCAAAAGAGGAACUCCCCAGGUCGAUAAGUGCCCAAUAUGCUACUGGAGAAUAGUAGAGAAAUAACUCCAGAAAGAAUGAAGGGAUGGAG